UGUACUAUUUUGAUCAAGUAAAUAUUUUAAUCUCAAAAUAAUGCCUCACUGAAUGUAUAUCUUGAGGAGGAUAUUUGUAUUGCUCAUUUUGCCUUCAUGUUUCUAAUAUUCAGGCUUAAGCUAUCUUCUUGAUGAAAACAGGGUUGAGGAUCUGUCUCUACUCUACCAGCUGCUUAGUAGGGUAGAGUGUGGAGUUCAAGUUCUUCUUCAACAUUGGAUUGAUUAUAUAAAGGAAAAGAUGUUUUCGAAGCCUUCUACAAAAAAUAUUUAGCCAGACGUCUCUUACUUGGUAAGAGUGCUUCAGUUGAUGCAGAAAAAUCAAUGCUGUCCAAACUGAAACAAGGUCAGUCCUUCGCAGAAUUUCUCUUCACCUACAGUGGGGUGUGUUUGGACCUUGUCCAGUGUGUGGCAGUUUUAAGAGGUGAGUUUUGGUCUGGUUGUUAAAAGAGGCUAGAUCUUAUUUCCAAUAGAGUUGACGCCUUGCAGCAGUCUGUGAUCAGUAGUCUUGGUCCUUGUAAGGGGGUUUGUUCUCAUCUUCUGUUUGAGGGUCUUGCCUUGUUGGUUCUCAUGCAGACAAUCUGAGGAAAAAUGAAACUGCAGAGCACAUGGUGGUGGGGCUUGUAAGUGUAUCCAUCCUCCA
rnacentral:lncRNA from 1 species